rnacentral:rRNA from 4 species
UAGACCCGAAACCCGGUGAUCUAGCCAUGGGCAGGUUGAAGGUUGGGUAACACUAACUGGAGGACCGAACCGACUAAUGUUGAAAAAUUAGCGGAUGACCUGUGGCUGGGGGUGAAAGGCCAAUCAAACCGGGAGAUAGCUGGUUCUCCCCGAAAGCUAUUUAGGUAGCGCCUCGUGAAUUCAUCUCCGGGGGUAGAGCACUGUUUCGGCUAGGGGGCCAUCCCGGCUUACCAACCCGAUGCAAACUGCGAAUACCGGAGAAUGUUAUCACGGGAGACACACGGCGGGUGCUAACGUCCGUCGUGAAGAGGGAAACAACCCAGACCGCCAGCUAAGGUCCCAAAGUCAUGGUUAAGUGGGAAACGAUGUGGGAAGGCCCAGACAGCCAGGAUGUUGGCUUAGAAGCAGCCAUCAUUUAAAGAAAGCGUAAUAGCUCACUGGUCGAGUCGGCCUGCGCGGAAGAUGUAACGGGGCUAAACCAUG